UAACCCUCACACUCUAACAAGUGUGGAAAUGAGAUUUCUCCUUAAAACCGAGUAUCUUUAAACUGAUUACCAACACUUGUUUAUCAAUACUUUUGUUAAACGGCAAGAUUACUGGAUGGUUUUAACCGUUCUUUACUUUGCUUACUAGACAGUUGAGGCGAUUACAUUUAAGUUGGCUAAAAAAGUUAUACGAAAGUCCUUUUUGAAAAAAAAAGGCUUUUAAGAC
rnacentral:misc_RNA from 1 species